rnacentral:rRNA from 1 species
UGAGCUGGUGGUGGCCGCAGAGACCAGCGAGAAGCGACUGUUUACUAAAAACACAGGUCCGUGCGAAGCCGUAAGGCGAUGUAUACGGACUGACGCCUGCCCGGUGCUGGAACGUUAAGGGGACCGGUUAGCUCCAUUUCGGUGGGGCGAAGCUGAGAACUUAAGCGCCAGUAAACGGCGGUGGUAACUAUAACCAUCCUAAGGUAGCGAAAUUCCUUGUCGGGUAAGUUCCGACCUGCACGAAUGGCGUAACGACUUCUCGACUGUCUCAACCAUAGGCCCGGUGAAAUUGCACUACGAGUAAAGAUGCUCGUUUCGCGCAGCAGGACGGAAAGACCCCGGGACCUUUACUAUAGCUUGAUAUUGGUGUUUGGUUCGGCUUGUGUAGGAUAGGUGGGAGACUGUGUCGUUGUGACGCCAGUCAUGGUGGAGUCGUUGUUGAAAUACCACUCUGGUCGUGCUGGAUGUCUAACCUGGGUCCGUGAUCCGGAUCAGGGACAGUGUCUGGUGGGUAGUUUAACUGGGGCGGUUGCCUCCUAAAGGGUAACGGAGGCGCCCAAAGGUUCCCCUCAGGCUGGUUGGCAAUCAGGUGUUGAGUGUAAGUGCACAAGGGAGCUUGACUGUGAGACUGACGGGUCGAGCAGGUACGAAAGUAGGGACUAGUGAUCCGGCGGUGGCUUGUGGAAGCGCCGUCGCUCAACGGAUAAAAGGUACCCCGGGGAUAACAGGCUGAUCUUCCCCAAGAGUCCAUAUCGACGGGAUGGUUUGGCACCUCGAUGUCGGCUCGUCGUAUCCUGGGGCUGGAGUCGGUCACAAGGGUUGGGCUGUUCGCCCAUUAAAGCGGUACGCGAGCUGGGUUUAGAACGUCGUGAGACAGUUCGGUCCCUAUCCGCUGUGCGCGUAGGAGUCUUGAGAAGGGCUGUCCCUAGUACGAGAGGACCGGGACGGACGAACCUCUGGUGUGCCAGUUGUUCUGCCAAGGGCAUGGCUGGUUGGCUACGUUCGGAAAGGAUAACCGCUGAAAGCAUCUAAGCGGGAAGCCUGCUUCGAGAUGAGGGCUCCCUCCCACUUGAUGGGGUAAGGCUCCCAGUAGACGACUGGGUUGAUAGGCCAGAUAUGGAAGACCGGUAACGGUUGGAGUUGACUGGUACUAAUAGGCCGAGGGCUUGUCCUCAGUUG